AAUAACACAAAAUAGGAAUCGAACGCACAUGAACGUUGCUUAAUGAGCCCGCUCAACCCCUAGCGCAUCUCUACUUUUAAUGUCUCAAUUGAUAGUCUUCGCCGGUUAAAUUUCGUCCCACCAUUUUCGUCUCUUUUUUUUUCGUCCUACCUUACCACCGUCCCUUCAUGUUAGGUUUUUCUACGUCAUUCUUCUUCACGCACAGGCAUAAAAGAAAACCCGAGUCAUCCCAUACGCCGCCGCCGCGUAAAGCCCUAUCCCUAACCCGCUCUCGUCUCCCUCCCUAGGACGCAGUCGCCCUGGCCAUGCCGCCGCCGCCGCCCACCCGUACGUCGCCAGCAACGGCCUCGCCAUCAUCCUCAUGUGCGCCCGACGUUUCCGUCUCCUCGCUGGCCCUAGGCUCAUCGAGCUUCCUCUCCAUGCGUUGCUGCCUCCUCUGUGCCGCCACCCCACGGUCUCCACCAGCGUCCCUGCGGAGUACAUGGGAGCCGCCGCUGCCGCCGGGGACAAGGAUACACAUGGAAACCGCCACAGCCUUAGGCACGCCUGCGGGCUAGCCUAUGCCUACUAUAUCCGGUGUUCUGGUGCAUCCGGUGCGACCUCAAAGAAUACAUUCUUCUAGCUGAGCUUUGAGCUCCUCAGGGACGAUGCCUGGGGUGGAAGCAGUUCAACUGCACGAUGAAGAAGUGAGUUAAGGGGUUAAGACGGUUGCGUUGGGCGUGCCCUGCUUGCUUGCUGUGCCUAGCAUCACCGGCAACAAGUUCAACGCUGUCCGACAAGGUGCCCUGCAGGGACAACCUCGGUCGACCUGUCAUCGAACUUCACUGCUUGAGGCAGGAGCAGUGACUAGCAUUGACCAGGAGGAGCAAGAAGCAGCGACAGCUACCAUUGCUGGCUGAGCUAGCUGCUAGGUUGCCUCUCUCUUUCCCUCAUAUUCAUAUAUGUGGGUUUGCAACAGCCAAAAGUACGCUCGUGAUUCUUUGUUUUUACUAACAAUCCAUAUUUGGAUGCCUUCUUUCUCCCCAGUUACUUGCGACGGGUUGUGGGCAACUACAAGUUAGAAGAAUCAGUACUGAAAACGUCUUCUGAAUGUUAAUAAAAUGCUUUUCCUGUUGUGCAUUUGUAUGCUUCAGUUCUCUUUUUCGUGCCGGGUAUACUUCAGUUAUACUAAAACAUCCAUCUUA